CGCACAUUGCACCUUCUGGUAUUCCGGGAGGUAUGCCCGUUCGAGCGUCAUUUCACCACUCAAGUUUAACUUGGUAUUGAGAAUUAGCAUUAGCUAUUCCUUAAUUAUUCGGCUUGAUUAAAUGAUUAAUCUUUACGUAAAAGUUAAGAAUAAUUAUCUGAUUAUCGCCCGUUAAAUAUUAUUCUAAAGGUUGACCUCGAAUCGGGUAGGGAUACCCGCUGAACUUAA
rnacentral:misc_RNA from 1 species